rnacentral:lncRNA from 1 species
GCUCAUCCUGACUGAUGCCACCAUUUCAAGAGAAGAGAAAUGAGACUGAGAAAGAUUAAGAUAUUUUCUUAAGAUUGGACACUGUGUUCCUACCCGUUGUGCUUGCCUUAUAGGCGAAAGAGAAUUUAUUUAAGCACAGAGAUCAAGCAAAAGUGGAGCACAGGACACACUUUCAAGUUGCCUUGGGGACUGCUCUGUAGAACAAAAAAGAAACUCAAGAUUUUAAGGAAUAAAAAGUACAAAUGAAGAGAAGGCAUGAUUACAAAAGUUGUUGAUCAGUAAUUCUCAUUGGUAGA